CUCGAGCUCCCGCACUGCUGUAGGGAAACUGUCAAGUCCGCCGCCUGGGGACUAUGGUCGCAAGGCUGAAACUUAAAGGAAUUGGCGGGGGAGCACCACAAGGGGUGGAUGCUGCGGUUCAAUUGGAUACAACGCCGGGAAACUUACCAGGGGCGACGGCAGUAUGAUGGCCAGGCUGAAGGUCUUGCUUGACGAGCCGAGAGGUAGUGCAUGGCCGUCGUCAGCUCGUACCGUGAGGCGUACGGUUAAGUCCGUUAACGAGCGAGACCCGUACCCUUAUUUGCCACCUUCAAUCCACGGAUUGGGGAGCACUAUAAGGGGACCGCUGGCGAUGAGUCAGAGGAAGGCGCGGGCGACGGUAGGUCUGUAUGCUCCGAAUCUCCUGGGCUACACGCGGCAUACAAUGGCACAGACAAUGGGUCGCAACCCCGAAAGGGGAAGCUAAUCUCUAAACUGUGUCUCAGUACAGAUCGAGGGUUGCAACUCACCCUCGUGAAGCUGAAAUCCCUAGUAAUCGUAGGUUACUAUCCUGCGGUGAAUAUGUCCCUGCUCCUUGCACACACCGCCCGUCACGUCAAUCGAGUGAACCGUGGGUGAGGCGCACUCACCUGAGUGUGUCGAAUCUAUGGUCUGCGAGAGGGAUGAAGUCGUAACAAGGUAGCC
rnacentral:rRNA from 1 species